rnacentral:rRNA from 1 species
ACGGGACCGCCACUGCGACGAUCGGUAGCCGGACUGAGAGGUUGAACGGCCACAUUGGGACUGAGACACGGCCCAGACUCCUACGGGAGGCAGCAUG